GAGCAGCAGAGCCUGACAAACCCAAGGGACUCAGGAGAGGUGGUGAUGUGCCCUGUGAUAGUCAGGUCCCAGGGCCCUGAGUAACUCACCAGUUUUCCAACCAGACUUGAUUAUGUACCCCUGGGGCUCCCAAAAUAGCCAAGUGACAAAGGGCUCAAGUCUUUUCAUCAGAAAGGAGAAAGUACAAGUUAUUGGAUCCUGUUAUUACCCAAGACCGUCGAGGAAAACUGAACUACACCAAUGUCAGAGAUGCCUGUCUGUUUCUCCAAGUUCAAGCAUUCAAGGCCAGUUUUGUGAUACAGGGCAUUUCAAAAGACCUAUAUUAUGCUGAUGUUCUGGUUGGAUUUGAAAUAUUGUUGGACGUGUCUUUCUAGCUCACUUAAUAGCGAUUCCUUGGAAAGUGGGGGCCAGGCUUUGUGUCUCCCCCCCACAGGAUGCUUACCAGUGUAUGUAAUAGAUGCUCAAUUAUUAUAUAUUGACUUGGAUCCAGCAUUUCAGACCUUUGGAGGAGACCAGCUGCUAGGGUAAAGCUGUUGGGGACUGCUAAAAAUCUAGUUUAUGAAUUGACUGGAUGAAACGCUACAUGGUAAACCAAUGAACACAUCUCACAUGCUGAAGUAUUUUUAAGAAGGCUGUCUGGGAAAUCAUGCCACUAUCUUCAGGAGGGGUCAAGAGUGACUUGAAGUGUGGGCAUCUCUUUAAAUCUGCACUCCUUGGCUGGGCACUGGGGACGUGUGCUGUAAGCUAUAAAGAAACAAAGCCCCCCGGGAAAUCGUGCUGGUCAUCCCUUCGAGUGGAGCCCAGAGGCGGGAAAACAUCUGAGCCAAACUUUCUCUUGACUCUGCUCAGAACUCACUGUGGGGUUCUGGGCAUUUCAUUUCCUCACAUGGGCAAUGUUGUGGGCCAUCUUGAUUCCUGGCCCUCCACCCCAAAGAGUAGCCCCCUGCGGUCGCUAAGUAAACUGCGGAAAGCACACAGUGCAGUCAAUCCAGGCUGCGCUGGCAUCUCCUGGGGAGCCUGAAACCAUGCAUGCCGAUGCCUGAGCUCUAGCCCAAGAGUUCUGGUUAACCGGCCUGGGGAGGGGCCUGGACAUCUGUAUUUUGUAAAAGCCAUCCAGGUGAAUCUUAUAGAGCUAAGGGACCCGAGGUUGAGGAGCACUAUGCCAGAGUAGUAAGAUGAACACCAGCUCAGCAGCAGCAGCGCAGCCGCCACCACAGCAACCCCGAGAGCACCCGAAACAGUAACAGAGGAGCCAGCCUUGGCUGGGAGAGUGCCAGGAAAGGAAGAUGCUCGCUUGGAUCCAGGCUCCACCUGGCACUGGCUGGGACCACAGACUCACUCUUCAGUCAAUCAGCAGGCUAGCACACAUUUGUUCAGUGCAUGCUGUGUGCUGCACGGGGCAGCGGACAGGGCAUGCGGAGUAACAGGCCCCAGCCUCCCCUGGACACGCAGAGUCAACAUGACAGAGGUGUGAACCGGAUACAGAGGGCACACAUUCCACCUGGGGUGUGACAGGAAAGACGAAAUAUUAUCGGGGAAGGAGCGGUGGAGGUUGUAGUGGCUGGAUAUCAUUUCAGAAGAACCUGUCAUUUUUCCAGGAGAAGAGACUGUAAGAGGAAAGUCCUGGAGGGAGAAAAUAUUUUAUGAUAUAGUGGAAACAAAUGAUAACAGUGUUGAGAGGGACAAGCUUAACACAGAAUCCAGACUUCACACGUUCACGUGGGGGAGAUAGAAGUCGCGGAGUAGGCUGAUUUCUGAUGACAACCUGAUUUAAUUUGCAAUAUGACUGCAUCAGUGGCUGCUCAAAAAGCUGUUUCCAACAUUUUGCAUCAAUAUAGCAGCUCUGGGAUCCUGAAGAAAUUUGUAUUUGCUGUCUAAGACCGGAAGGGUGGAGGAAUACAGCUACCAGUUACUGAACAGCUGCUACCUUGAGAGGGACUGACCGACAUCGAGGACCGGGACUCCAGAACCCUGCUUUUGACCGGGAGACCUCCCAACUGGGAGCUCAAAUAAAUACGAGUGUGUUCGUUCUCAAUACUGGAACCCGUGAGCCAAGCUGCAUUUUACGUCUGCAUCCUCUACCCCCUGUUACAGGAGCCUGUUGCCUUUAACGAACCUGAGUCAGUCUAGCGAGGAGAACUGCUCGCCAGGGCUAAUUAUCAUCGCGGCGAUGUGAGUAAAUGAAGGAAAGUGAGUCAUGCACUAGGGCGGUUUUAUGACGGCUGUGAGGGAAGGCAAAUCAAAUGUACGCAUCUAAACUGCAGGGACCUGCGAGCGGCUGAAUCAUACGUCCGAGUGAAUAUGAGUUUUAUGGCGUGCGCCUGGAGAUCCUUAACAUAAUUGUCCUGCUGCUUUGGUCAGGCUGUUCUCUGCCCGGAGGCCCAGUGGUGACCUCUCCAAACACGUCAAGUGGAGCCCUGAACUCUUCAAAUGGAGGCCACCCAUCUUGGGAAGAAAGACAACAGAAAAGAAAGAAAGAGAGUGGCGAAGUCAUAUUUCCACUGCAGAGUUGCCUGAAGAGCUCGCUCCCUUCCUGCCCUGGCUCUGUUCCCGUCAGUGCAUCCCUUGUAGCGAGUCUUAGCUCAGCAGCCUUCACGGGGUGGCCUACAGGGCAAUGAAGUGACCCAAGAAAGAGGAUGGCAUUUCUCCAACCCCCUCACCACCUGUGUGUGUUCACCAGGGAGGUGUUCUUGCCGUCUGGUCCCAGAUGUCCUAAUGCCUCCUUCGCGUAUGGGUUUGUUCAUUAAUUUAGUUAAUGAUUUGAUUUCUAAGUCUGCCCAGGCACUCUUGGAAAUGUCCUGUAGGAUAUAGACAUGAAUCAGCAUGAACUCUGUUCUCAGGAAGCCUGCAGGGUAGGAGAGAAGGUUGGGCGUGUGCCACUGAAGCCUUCACACAGCUAAGGGGCUGUAGGUGGGCUUCCAGCGUGGGCUCUGGACCGCCUCGGCAUGACCCCUGCUCCCCAGCGGCAGAGUUAUUUGCUACUCGCAUCCAUAAAAUGUGGAUGAUAAUAGUUCCCACCCACUGGAUUGUUUUGAGGAAAGCACCUGGCACAGUGUUGGUGGUCACUAAGUGUUACCUCACAGUUUCCUCCACAAAUAAGCGGCAAGUAUCCUAACUGAGAAACCACUGACGUGCUCUGAGGUUCAGAGGCAGAUGUGUCCUGGGGCCUGGAGAGGCUCACGACGCAGGCAGUCUUUGGGCCAGGCCUGGACGGCUCAGCUGAGCUCUCUCUGCGAUGCCCAUCGGAGUCGGUGCUCCCAGCGUUAGAGAAGCAGGACUUUGCCCCAUUUCUCUGUGCGGAUCUAUGGGCGUUUAAUACACAACUGGCUCUUUAAACAUGUUUUCUGGGGACACUGAGGAAAAGGAUGAUUUCUUACAUAAGGGUUAGUUGUUUGUUUUUCAGCUAAUCAAGCCACUCUUCACUUGACUUUGAGGAAGUUUCUUCACCUCUCUGAGACUCUGUUUAUCCUUUUGGAGUAGAGAAGGCCUAUACUCAGUAAGCAUUGUGGCUUUUUUAAACCAGCUCUGAACUAUGGUGAUUAUUAACAAUAUUGCUGUGAGUUUUAGCCUUGCACAUCAUUCACGUGGUUUACAAAGAGUUGACUACAAAUUGUGUGGAACUUGGGCCUGUGUUUGUGUGACUGAUUUCUCUCCGAAGUUUUAUGUUAUAAAAUCGUGAACGGAGCUUUCCAAAACCAUGACUGCCAAAUAUUCUAUUUGACCAACAACACUUAAAGUGUUUAUGUCCAUAUUGACAAAUUCUAUCCUUAUCUACCCACCCACCCUCUGUCUGUCUACUUCUUCUCAUUUCACCUAGUUAGG
ensembl:lncRNA